UGGGGAAUUUUGGACAAUGGGCGAAAGCCUGAUCCAGCCAUGCCGCGUGAGUGAAGAAGGCCUUCGGGUUGUAAAGCUCUUUUAGUCGGAAAGAACGAGUUGCAAUGAUUAAUUGUGAUUUAUGACGGUACCGACAGAAAAAGCACCGGCUAACUACGUGCCAGCAGCCGCGGUAAUACGUAGGGUGCGAGCGUUAAUCGGAAUUACUGGGCGUACAGGGUGCGCAGGCGGUCUUGCAAGUCAGAUGUGAAAGCCCCGGGCUUAACCUGGGAAUUGCGUUUGAAACUACAAGACUAGAGUGCAGCAGAGGGGAGUGGAAUUCCAUGUGUAGGAGUGAAAUGCGUAGAGAUGUGGAAGAACACCCAUGCCGAAGGCAGCUCCCUGGGUUGAAACUGACGCUCAUGCACGAAAGCG
rnacentral:rRNA from 1 species